ACGUAGGCAGCAAGCGUUGUUCGGAAUUACUGGGCGUAAAGAGUGUGUAGGCGGUGCUCCAAGUCUGGUGUGAAAUCUCCCGGCUUAACUGGGAGGGUGCAUUAGAAACUGGAAUGCUAGAGGAUGGGAGAGGUAAGCGGAAUUCCUGGUGUAGCGGUGAAAUGCGUAGAUAUCUGGAGGAACACCGGUGGCGAAGGCGGCAUCCUGGACCGGCAUUGACGCUGAGGCGCGAAAGCCAGGGGAGCAAACGGG
rnacentral:rRNA from 1 species